GGCUUCCUGGUGCUUUUCAUAGGCUAUGUAAGGAUGCACAGGAAAUCCACCCCAUAUGCACCUCACCCCAGGCCCUUUGAAUGGUCUGUACUGUGGAUAGAGAGAAUUGA
rnacentral:snoRNA from 1 species